rnacentral:misc_RNA from 1 species
CACCGAGAAAACACAAAAACGAAAGGAAGCCAGUUUUGGACCACAGCCUCCGACCCUCUCUAUGGCGGACUACAACGCAGCAGGUGACGGCACGGCGGUGGUGGACGACAACGUGCCGCCAGGCAUCACGACGAAGCAGGACGAAAUCAUCCAGUACGUGGCCAAGUACGUGGUCGCAUCGUGUGACGGGGCGCGAUAUCAAGACAAGGUUCGCACACGCACAAAGCAUAAUCCGUACUUCGAUUUCCUCAACGCCAAGCACCCGUACCACCAGUACUACCAGUACCUCCUCGAGUCCUACCGGCAUUGGAUGCGCAAUAGCGAGGCAGUCGGGGCGGGGACGUGGGGCGGCGGUGUCGAUGCGAUGCAGGGCCAGGGGCAGCAGCAGCAGUGGAACGAGGAAGACUACUACCAGUACUACGGCGCCUACGCUGGACAGGCGAGCGGCAUUGAAUUUCAGGGCAACGCCGCUGCUCAGCUUGGCGAGGGAAGCAGCUAUGUGGACGCAUCUAGCUCCGCGCACGCGCAGAACGCCAGCAGCGGCGUCGAUCCCACCUUGUAUGAGCCGGAAUCAGUCACUGUCACGGGCUAUGGCGCUGGCUACGACCCCUCGGCGGUAGGCCCGGAGCCGGCUCAGGCGGCAACGACUGCAGGCAGCGGCGAAGCUCAGGCCGAGGAAGACGAAGACGACGAGUACGAGCUAGUCAUGGAAAACGGGCAGUGGGUGUCACGCAAGCGGAUGUAGCUGCAUCGCUUUUCAUGGCUUUGGCUCUCUCCAUCGGCGUGUGGGACGACAUAUAUGUGUGAUGGUGUCCGCGCGUGCGAAGGAAUAGCAGAAGACAUGCGGUGAGGGUUUAUGGAUUGUUGAAGCCGGCCAAAGGAGGAGGUGCGAGGUAAGGCGCUCGCCCACCAAUCAACACCAGCGCCUGCCUCCUCCUCUCUCUCGCACCUUUUCUAUAUAGUAGCCCGAGUAAUCGAAAGGAAAGAAAGGGGGGGUGCAGGCCACCGUGGCCAGCACUCCACGGGCACGAACAUAUAUGCCAGCACUUGCUUGAGUGUCUCUUAGUGAUGCCCCUCGGCGUCUCACACGCGCCUUGUAUGAGGCGGUGC